rnacentral:rRNA from 1 species
CUGAAUGGGCUAGGGCAUACACCAAUGUACCAAACCCUAUCAAACUCCGAAUACCUUAUAUGUAAUCACAGCAGUCAGGCGGCGAGUGAUAAAAUCCGUCGUCAAGAGGGAAACAACCCAGACUACCAGCUAAGGUCCCUAAAUCUUACUUAAGUGGAAAACGAUGUGAAGUUACUUAAACAACCAGGAGGUUGGCUUAGAAGCAGCCAUCCUUUAAAGAAAGCGUAAUAGCUCACUGGUCUAGUGAUUUUGCGCGGAAAAUAUAACGGGGCUAAAGUAAGUACCGAAGCUGUAGACUUGCGCACAACUUAGAUUAUUUAAGUUUAGAAUAUGAGAAACUAAGUUAUGUUUAGUUAUAUUUUUACUGAUUUUUAUAGAGUAAAGAUAGAAAUAAAACUUAGUAAAAUCAGUAAAAAUAUUCUUAGGCUAAAGUUAAGUAGUUUAAGUUGUGUGCAAGUGGUAGGAGAGCGUUCUAUUUGCGUCGAAGGUAUACCGGUAAGGAGUGCUGGAGCGAAUAGAAGUGAGCAUGCAGGCAUGAGUAGCGAUAAUUAAUGUGAGAAUCAUUAACGCCGUAAACCCAAGGUUUCCUACGCGAUGCUCGUCAUCGUAGGGUUAGUCGGGUCCUAAGUCGAGUCCGAAAGGGGUAGACGAUGGCAAAUUGGUUAAUAUUCCAAUACCAACAUUAGUGUGCGAUGGAAGGACGCUUAGGGCUAAGGGGGCUAGCGGAUGGAAGUGCUAGUCUAAGGUCGUAGG